AACGCACCUUGCGCUCCUUGGUAUUCCGAGGAGCAUGCCUGUUUGAGUGUCACUAAAUUCUCAACUCCCUUUGAUUUUUUCAAGGGUGAGCUUGGAUCGUGGAGGCUCUGCCGGCUCUCUCGUUAGAGUCGGCUCCUCUUAAAUGAAUUAGCGUGAAUCACUAUGGACCGCUUCGGUGUGAUAAUUAUCUGCGCCGUAGUCGUGAAGUAUUAAUAAAAGUUCUCGCUUCUAAUCGUCCUUCACGGGACAAUUAACCCUGACUUUUUGACCUCAAAUCAGGUAGGACUACCCGCUGAACUUAA
rnacentral:rRNA from 1 species